UUUCCGUUGGUGAACCCGCGGAAGGCUCAUUACAGAGAUCAUGCCCUCUAAUGGUAUACCUCCCACCCUGUGUUAAUACUCUUGUUGCUUUGGCAGGCCGCCUUCGGGCUCUCGGCUCCGGCUUAGGUGCGCCUGCCAGAGGACCCCAACUCUGUGUUUAGUGUCGUCUGAGUACUAUAUAAUAAGUUAAAACUUUCAACAACGGAUCUCUUGGUUCUGGCAUCGAUGAAGAACGCAGC
rnacentral:misc_RNA from 1 species